UGGAGCCGGCCCUGUCCCUCAGGUGCCAGAGCUGAGCCCACGCCCGGGACUCCUCCCUCUGGCGACCUGAAUCCAUGCCCCAAGUGAUGAAGACAGCCUCGCGGUCCCCCGGACCGCCCUAAGGCGGAAGUCAGGGCCUCUACCCCCUGCCUUUAUAAGGCCCCCUGAGAUGCCCACCGCACAAAUGCAGACGAUGUGAGUGCACUGAGUUGGCCUUCGCCUUCCAUGGACUUAAGCCCAACCGCUUUGAACCAAGAGUGGAACACAACCCCCCAGGUUUGUUGUCUUGGCACAUACAGGUAAGGCAAUAAAUCUGUAAAUAACUUAAGGACAAUUAACAUAUUUCCGGCAUUCUGAAUCUGUCAGGAACAUUUUAUAGUUGUCUCCAUGAAGGACUUGAACAUUUUUGUGAAGCUUUUUCUUAGGCGAUCUUUGGAUUUUCAUGCCGUGGUGAAUGGGAUACGUAAACAAUUUUCAUAAUGCACUUAUCAUCCUCCACUUCUUUGCGUUUUCCCAGAGACAAAUCAAUGAAAGGUUGCAGCGUCAAUGAGACAGAGGGUAGUGUCUUUUUACAAAAUUUAUUUUUUCCAGCUUUAUUGAACUGUACUUGACAAAUAAAAAUUGCAUGCCUUUACGGUAUAUAAUAUGAUGUUUCGAUACGUAUUGUGAAAUGACUAUGACAGUUGAGCUAAUUAACAUAUCCGUCACCUCCCAUAGUUACCACUGUGUGUGUGUGUGUGUGUGUGUAGUGAGAACACAUGAGGUCAACCCUCUUAGCAAAUUUUAAGUAUAUAGUAGAGUAUGGUCAACUAUAGUCACCAUGCUGUGUAUUAGAUCUCCAGGACUUAUUCAGCCCAGGUAACUGAACCUUUAUACCCAUUUCCCGCACACCUCAGCCCCUGGCAACCACCAUCCCACUUGGCUUUUAUGAAUUCGACUUCUCUAGAUUCCAUAUAUAAUUGAGAUCAUGCAUCCUUUUCUGUCUGACUUACUACACCUAGAACAAUGGCCUCCAGGUUCGUCGAUAUUGUCACAAAUAGCAAUUAUUUCCUUCUUCUUAAAA